CAUGGGCUUGGCCACAAGGUCUUCAUCUUUCUUCCCUGCAUUUGGAUUGUGCCUGAAAAUCCAUCUCCAACUCUUGAAACUUUUCCUGCUCCUUUUGAUUCCUCUGUCACUAACUGUGAUCCUACAUGAACCUCCAUUAGUGAACAGUCCAUCUCCCACGAGUGUCCCAAAAGGGCCUCCACAUUGAUCCUGUGGCAGAAAAUCACUGCCUCUCAUGCUACCAAAAGCAGAGUUUGAAUCUGACAAAGCACCACCCAUCUUGACAGAAGAUAAAUCUGCCUUGGACUCUGAUGGGAAAUCAAACUUCAGGUCAAUGAAGCCUGAAUCAUCCAUAGUAGUAAAGUUGCCUUCUUUAAGUGAAAAUACACGUCUAGUAUUUGCUCCGCUACUAAAACCAGGAUCAAGCUUUUCGGGAUCUAAAACACUAGCAUCUUUCUUUUCACCAUCGAAGCCGCUUUUUCUUGGUUCUGCUUCACUGAACCCACUUUUUCUAUCAGGAUCAAAGAGUAGACCACCAUUGACACCAGAAUUCCUAGCGGCUGAAAUGGAACUCCUAGCGACUGAAAUGGAACUCCUAGCAGCUGAAAUAGA
rnacentral:misc_RNA from 1 species